AGGAAUCAGUGGAUCCUGAUUGCUUUCCAUGCUGGGGCUGAGUGGUCAGCAUUGCAACAUUGAUAGCCAGGCUCUGCAUAACCCAAACAGAUGUCAUGCACCUGAAGUGGGAUGAGGUCAGCUUGGAGGAGUGGAUGAUGCAGGCUGGGGCUGGUGGAGCAGCUUUUGUUCCCCUGCACCCCAUGCACACGAGGACGACUUUGGCUGUGGUGGUGCCAACAUAGUGCCCUGAUACGCUGCCAGAGUGAACUGAAACCCAGACCCCA
rnacentral:lncRNA from 1 species